rnacentral:rRNA from 1 species
ACGGGUGAGUAACACAUCGGAACGUGCCUAGUAGUGGGGGAUAACUACUCGAAAGAGUAGCUAAUACCGCAUGAGAUCUAAGGAUGAAAGCAGGGGACCUUCGGGCCUUGCGCUACUAGAGCGGCUGAUGGCAGAUUAGGUAGUAGGUGGGAUAAAAGCUUACCAAGCCGACGAUCUGUAGCUGGUCUGAGAGGACGACCAGCCACACUGGGACUGAGACACGGCCCAAACUCCUACGGGAGGCAGCAGUGGGGAAUUUUGGACAAUGGGCGAAAGCCUGAUCCAGCAAUGCCGCGUGUAGGAUGAAGGCCCUCGGGUUGUAAACUACUUUUGUACGGAACGAAAAGCUCUCUUCUAAUAAAGGAGAGUGAUGACGGUACCGUAAGAAUAAGCACCGGCUAACUACGUGCCAGCAGCCGCGGUAAUACGUAGGGUGCGAGCGUUAAUCGGAAUUACUGGGCGUAAAGCGUGCGCAGGCGGUUAUGUAAGACAGAGGUGAAAUCCCCGGGCUCAACCUGGGAACGGCCUUUGUGACUGCAUAGCUAGAGUACGGUAGAGGGGGAUGGAAUUCCGCGUGUAGCAGUG